CAAAGAGGCAAUGCCUCUUCGUUUCUAUUUUUGGAACAGCAGGGGCUCCUUUUCAAUUUUUUCUCUUUUGGAUUUUCAUAGAAAAUUUACGAUCUGUAAAGAUCCAACGGUCCAAUCUUAGAUCCGAUUUCGGCAACGCAAUCUUUGAAGCCCGAUCUACAUUUUGACCGAACGUUUUGAGAUUUUGUGUGGUUUGGAGUUGCUAGGAGCUUCCCGAGCAUCGGGUCUUGGUGUGGUGAAUUUUUGCGGCACGUUACGGUUGAGCUUAGAGUCGUUUGGAUAUUGGGAGUACAAGCAAUCUGAGAUGAUAUUCCUGUGGUUGCAGGUACUCUUGAGGCGGAUGAUGAUCCGGUAGCUCACUACUUGGGAUACUACGAUUGAAGCCCGUAACGACAGUCGUAGUGGGAUAGGACUGAGGUGUCCUCAUUUUGGGUACUUUUGUAUAUGGCUUGUGACGUGUGUGUCACACAUUAUUUUGUAUAAGCCAUUCUUUUAUAUUUGUAAAAUGUAGUUAAACUUUAAACAGAUAGAUUUGUGUUAUGGCUCACUUAUGUAUAGAUAACAGGUUCAUUUAUAAUUAUGCUUUUCCGUUAUGUGUAUUGGUAUCAUGAUUUAUUCCGCUGUAGAUGUAACUCUGUAUAUCAGGUACAUGUUAUGGGACAUGUGUCUAUGUUGGCUAAGCGACACUUAGUCGUGCCACUACGAUGACUCGUUUAUGUUUG